UAAAGUAGAGCUUGAAAUAAGCAUUUCAUUUACACUGAAAGGAUAUUUAAUUAUAUUAAAUUACUUUAA
rnacentral:tRNA from 1 species